AGGAAUAUUGCUCAAUGGGAGAAAUCCUGAAGCAGCAACGCCGCGUGGAGGAUGAAGGGUCUAUGACUUGUAAACUCCUGUAAAGAAGGAAAAAAUUCCCAUUUGAUGGGAGAUGAUGGUACUUCUGGAGUAAGCCCCGGCUAACUACGUGCCAGCAGCCGCGGUAAUACGUAGGGGGCAAGCGUUGUCCGGAUUUACUGGGUGUAAAGGGUGCUCAGGCGGAUUUGUAAGUCAGAGGUGAAAUCUUACAGCUUAACUGUGAAACUGCCUUUGAUACUGCAAGCCUAGAGUAUGGAAGAGAGUGAUGGAAUAUCUGGUGUAGCAGUGAAAUGCGUAGAUAUCAGAUAGAACACUAAUUGCGAAGGCAGUCACUUGGUCCAUUACUGACGCUAAAGCACGAAAGCGUGGGUAGCAAAC
rnacentral:rRNA from 1 species